GUCGUUUGUUUAUGUAAUUUACACGUGUUUCUCGUUUCUCGUUUUUUAUAUAGAUUAGACCGUUGUUUUUCUCGUUUGGAUGGUUUUACACUAGUAAUUUUGGGGCCCUUUAUAGCUUAUUGUUCGGUGUGAGCCAAUGUUCCGUGUUGAAGGCCGUACAUUGACCUAUAAUGGUUUACUGUUAUAAAUUGUUAUUUGGAUGGAGAGUUGUCUCAUUGGCACUCACACCACAUCUUCCUAUAUCUA
rnacentral:lncRNA from 1 species